UCCUGCGUUGUCUCGAAAGUUUCUCUUGCAGGAAGUUGAACUGGAUUUGUUCCAGAAUCAGUUUUUGGGUCUUUUAAAUUAAACUAAAUUGGAGCGCGUGGAGUGUUUUUGUCUCAUAUUAGAAUAUAUUAAAUUCUUCGCUCCCCGCUAACCAAUAAAGUGUGAGUUUUCUCUGCGGGAGAAUUCAAAAUGUCCGACAGUCAGUGAAGGCAUUAAGUCCACAGCCGUGGACUUGGGCUCAAGUGUUUGGUCAGCCGCCUCCUCUGAGCCCUUACAUGGAAGGACGGUGUGUUGAUGCCAGUAGGUGUGGUUAAGAUCAUCAGGUAGCCUGUUGGAGCCACCUGGGCCCGGUGUUCUCCAGUACCUAUAAAAGCGCGUCUCAUGUUCUGCACUGAGGGCUGGAGGGAAACCCUGUUCCCGAUGCUCCACGCCCCUUCGACCAUACAACGCUCCGCUCACUAUUCCUUCAAGCAUACCUGCAGACAAGACUGAGCCACUGAUUAUCACGCUUCAUAGGAUCGUUUGAAUAUUUGUUUCUGUUGGUUUGAAGAAUAAAAGUAAUGGAAUACUUUUACUGCA